UACGGGGGGGCAAGCGUUGUUCGGAAUUACUGGGCGUAAAGGGCCAGUCGGCGGCCAACUAAGUCGGAUGUGAAAUCCCCAGGCUUAACCUGGGAACUGCAUCCGAUACUGGAUGGCUUGAAUUCGGGAGAGGGAUGCAGAAUUCCAGGUGUAGCGGUGAAAUGCGUAGAUAUCGGGAGGAACACCUGUGGCGAAGGCGGCCACCUGGUUGGAUACUGACGCUGAGACGCGAAAGCGUGGGGAGCAAACAGG
rnacentral:rRNA from 1 species